rnacentral:rRNA from 1 species
GACGAACGCUGGCGGCGUGCCUAAUACAUGCAAGUUGAGCGCUGAAGGUUGGUACUUGUACCAACUGGAUGAGCAGCGAACGGGUGAGUAACGCGUGGGGAAUCUGCCUUUGAGCGGGGGACAACAUUUGGAAACGAAUGCUAAUACCGCAUAAAAACUUUAAACACAAGUUUUAAGUUUGAAAGAUGCAAUUGCAUCACUCAAAGAUGAUCCCGCGUUGUAUUAGCUAGUUGGUGAGGUAAAGGCUCACCAAGGCGAUGAUACAUAGCCGACCUGGAAGGGUGAUCGGCCACAUUGGGACUGAGACACGGCCCAAACUCCUACGGGAGGCAGCAGUAGGGAAUCUUCGGCAAUGGACGAAAGGCUGACCGAGCAACGCCGCGUGAGGGAAGAAGGUUUUCGGAUCGUAAAAAUCUGUUGGUAGAGAAGAACGUUGGUGAGAGUGGAAAGCUCAUCAAGUGACGGUAACUACCCAGAAAGGGACGGCUAACUACGUG